UACGUAGGUGGCAAGCGUUGUCCGGAUUUACUGGGCGUAAAGGAUGCGUAGGCGGACAUUUAAGUCAGAUGUGAAAUACCCGAGCUUAACUUGGGUGCUGCAUUUGAAACUGGGUGUCUAGAGUGCAGGAGAGGUAAGUGGAAUUCCUAGUGGUAGCGGUGAAAUGCGUAGAGAUUAGGAAGAACACCAGUGGCGAAGGCGACUUACUGGACUGUAACUGACGCUGAGCAUGAAAGCGUGGGGAGCAAACAGG
rnacentral:rRNA from 1 species